rnacentral:rRNA from 1 species
AUUGAACGCUGGCGGCAUGCUUUACACAUGCAAGUCGAACGGCAGCGCGGGGCAACCUGGCGGCGAGUGGCGAACGGGUGAGUAAUACAUCGGAACGUACCCAGAAGUGGGGGAUAACGUAGCGAAAGUUACGCUAAUACCGCAUACGUUCUACGGAAGAAAGUGGGGGACCUUUGGGCCUCAUGCUUUUGGAGCGGCCGAUGUCUGAUUAGCUAGUUGGUGAGGUAAAGGCUCACCAAGGCGACGAUCAGUAGCUGGGCUGAGAGGACGACCAGCAGGACUGGGACUGAGACACGGCACAGACUCCUACGGGAGGCAGCAGGGGGGAAUGUUGGACAAUGGGCGCAAGCCUGAUCCAGCAAUGCCGCGUGAGUGAAGAAGGCCUUCGGGUUGUAAAGCUCUUUUGUCAGGGAAGAAACGGCUGAGGUUAGUACCUUCGGCUAAUGACGGUACCUGAAGAAUAAGCACCGGCUAACUACGUGCCAGCCGCCGCCGUAA